rnacentral:rRNA from 1 species
UACGUAGGGGGCUAGCGUUGUCCGGAAUCAUUGGGCGUAAAGAGCGCGUAGGCGGCCAGAUAAGUCCGGUGUGAAAGUCAAAGGCUCAACCUUUGAAUGCCGCUGGAAACUGUCUGGCUAGAGUCCGGGAGGGGCGAGUGGAACUGCGAGUGUAGAGGUGAAAUUCGUAGAUAUUCGCAAGAACACCAGUGGCGAAGGCGGCUCACUGGCCCGGUACUGACGCUGAGGUGCGAAAGCGUGGGGAGCAAACAGG